rnacentral:lncRNA from 1 species
AUGCAGAAGGAGAAGCUGCUGGGAGUUAGGAUUGUCCUUAUUCUGCUUGUUGCGGAUCCGAGAAGGGUAGAUAUCAAUCUAUGAAGAGAAGCUUUUGAGUUAUGUUUUAUGAUAGUGAAUUCCUCACCCAAAAGAAGGUUUAGGCCUAUCUUGUAAACAUUUAGAAUUUGGAAUAUGUUUACUUGUUACACAAUGGAAUAUGUUUACUUGUUACACAUUUGGAUAUGUUUCGAAUCGAAUAUAUUAUUGAAGUUAUAAUAUUAUGAUU